AGCGAACGCUGGCGGCAGGCUUAACACAUGCAAGUCGAGCGGGCACUUCGGUGUCAGCGGCAGACGGGUGAGUAACACGUGGGAACGUACCCUUUGGUUCGGAAUAACGCUGGGAAACUAGCGCUAAUACCGGAUACGCCCUUUUGGGGAAAGGCUUGCUGCCGAAGGAUCGGCCCGCGUCUGAUUAGCUAGCUGGUGGGGUAAUGGCCUACCAAGGCGACGAUCAGUAGCUGGUCUGAGAGGAUGAUCAGCCACACUGGGACUGAGACACGGCCCAGACUCCUACGGGAGGCAGCAGUGGGGAAUAUUGGACAAUGGGCGCAAGCCUGAUCCAGCCAUGCCGCGUGAGUGAUGAAGGCCUUAGGGUUGUAAAGCUCUUUUGUCCGGGACGAUAAUGACGGUACCGGAAGAAUAAGCCCCGGCUAACUUCGUG
rnacentral:rRNA from 1 species